rnacentral:snRNA from 1 species
AUACUUACUUGGUGCAGGGAGAUUCGGUGAUCACGAUGGCCGGCUCCCCGGGUCGAGGCCUUCCAUUGCACUGCGGUCGGCUGAGACGCGCCACUUCCCCAAAGAGGGGAUGAUGGGGCAUGCAAUUUUUGGUAGUGGGGAUCGGCGUUCGCGCCUUUCCCCG